rnacentral:rRNA from 1 species
CCCUUAGAUGUUCUGGGCCGCACGCGCGCUACACUGACGAAUGCAACGAGCUUAUAACCUUGGCCGAAAGGUCUGGGUAAUCUCCAAAUUUCGUCGUGAUGGGGAUAGAUUAUUGCAAUUAUUAAUCUUCAACGAGGAAUGCCUAGUAAGCGCAAGCCAUCAGCUUGCGUUGAUUACGUCCCUGCCCUUUGUACACACCGCCCGUCGCUCCUACCGAUUGAAUGGUCCGGUGAAGCGUUCGGACCGUGGCCUUUGGACGGUUCGCCGUCUGUUGGCUGCGGGAAGUUCGUUAAACCUUAUCAUUUAGAGGAAGGAGAANUCGUAACA